GUCGAACGGCAGCACGGGGGCAACCCUGGUGGCGAGUGGCGAACGGGUGAGUAAUACAUCGGAACGUGCCCAUUAGUGGGGGAUAGCCCGGCGAAAGCCGGAUUAAUACCGCAUACGACCUACGGGUGAAAGCGGGGGAUCGCAAGACCUCGCGCUAUUGGAGCGGCCGAUGUCAGAUUAGGUUGUUGGUGGGGUAAGAGCCCACCAAGCCGACGAUCUGUAGCUGGUCUGAGAGGACGACCAGCCACACUGGGACUGAGACACGGCCCAGACUCCUACGGGAGGCAGCAGUGGGGAAUUUUGGACAAUGGGGGCAACCCUGAUCCAGCCAUGCCGCGUGCGGGAAGAAGGCCUUCGGGUUGUAAACCGCUUUUGUCAGGGAAGAAAUCUUUUGGGCUAACACCCCGAGAGGAUGACGGUACCUGAAGAAUAAGCACCGGCUAACUACGUGCCAGCAGCCGCGGUAAUACGUAGGGUGCGAGCGUUAAUCGGAAUUACUGGGCGUAAAGCGUGCGCAGGCGGUUGUGUAAGACAGGUGUGAAAUCCCCGGGCUUAACCUGGGAACCGCACUUGUGACUGCAC
rnacentral:rRNA from 1 species